rnacentral:rRNA from 1 species
UGGUGCCUACGGGACGCAGCAGUGGGGAAUAUUGGGCAAUGGGCGCAAGCCUGACCCAGCGACGCCGCGUGAGGGAAGACGGUCUUCGGAUUGUAAACCUCUUUCAGCAGGGAAGACAAAAGGACGGUACCUGCAGAAGAAGCCACGGCUAACUACGUGCCAGCAGCCACGGUAAUACGUAGGUGGCAAGCGUUAUCCGGAAUUACUGGGUGUAAAGGGUGCGUAGGCGGGGCUGCAAGUCAG